GAUUAUAUCGUGCUGAAUACACCGGUUUUCCUUCGAUCACCGAAGUCAAGCAUCAUGGGACGCAGUCAGUACUUGGUAGGAAGACCACCUGGGAAUACCGUGCGC